ACGAGAUGCGGGUCCUGAACCCACAGCUCCCACCCCCCUGCGUACCCACUUUGGUCCCUUUGGCGAGCAACCGUCAGAGGGGAACCGUCAAUCUUCGCUACCUUGUUAGGAGUCCGAGUCCUUAGCAAAAUGAA
rnacentral:misc_RNA from 1 species